rnacentral:rRNA from 1 species
CGCGUAGGCGGAUGAUUAAGUCAGAUGUGAAAGCCCAGGGCUUAACCUUGGAACUGCAUUUGAUACUGGUCAUCUAGAGUACAGUAGAGGGGGGUGGAAUUCCAGGUGUAGCGGUGAAAUGCGUAGAGAUCUGGAGGAACAUCAGCGGCGAAGGCGACCCCCUGGACUGAUACUGACGCUGAGGUGCGAAAGCGUGGGUAGCGAACA